UAAACUAGGGAUUAGAUACCCUAUUAUUCUAAAGGAUAAAGAAAGGAAUAAAUUAUUUUUUAAAUUAAAAAAUUUGGCGGUUUUCUUACAACUUAGAGGAGUGUGUUUCAUAAGGGAUAAUACACCAUAAAAUUUACUAUUUUUGAAAUUGUUAUACCGCUGUUUUAAAAUUAUUUUUGAUAAAAAUAUUUAAAAUUUUUUUUUAUUUGAAAAAAACUUCAAGUACAGGUGAUGUAAUAAAAUAGAGAAAAUGCACUACAAUAAAUAAUUUUAAAACGGAUUAUUUUUAUUAUGUUUAAUAUGAAGGUGAAUUUAGAAGUAAAAUUUUAUAAAAAUUUGAAUUUUGUUCAAGAAAAUGUACAUAUCGCCG
rnacentral:rRNA from 1 species